UACGUAGGGUGCAAGCGUUUGUCCGGAAUUAUUGGGCGUAAAGGGCUCGUAGGCGGUCCAUCGCGUCGGGAGUGAAAAGCUGGGGCUUAACCCCAGUCCUGCUUCCGAUACGGGUGGACUAGAGGUAGGUAGGGGAGAACGGAAUUCCUGGUGUAGCGGUGAAAUGCGCAGAUAUCAGGAGGAACACCGGUGGCGAAGGCGGUUCUCUGGGCCUUACCUGACGCUGAGGAGCGAAAGCAUGGGGGAGCAAACAGG
rnacentral:rRNA from 1 species